rnacentral:misc_RNA from 1 species
GAUGAAGAACGUAGCGAAAUGCGAUACGUAAUGUGAAUUGCAGAAUUCAGUGAAUCAUCGAGUCUUUGAACGCACAUUGCGCCCCCUGGUAUUCCGGGGGGCAUGCCUGUCCGAGCGUCAUUGCUGCCCUCAAGCACGGCUUGUGUGUUGGGCCUCCGUCCUCCUCCCGGGGGACGGGCCCGAAAGGCAGCGGCGGCACCGCGUCCGGUCCUCGAGCGUAUGGGGCUUCGUCACCCGCUCUUGUAGGCCCGGCCGGCGCUUGCCGACACAUCAAUCUUUUUUCCAGGUUGACCUCGGAUCAGGUAGGGAUACCCGCUGAACUUAAGCAUAUCAAUAAGCGCAGGA